rnacentral:rRNA from 1 species
UUGGAGGGCAAGUCUGGUGCCAGCAGCCGCGGUAAUUCCAGCUCCAAUAGCGUAUAUUAAAGUUGUUGCAGUUAAAAAGCUCGUAGUUGAAUUUCGGGGUCAAUAAGUUGGUCGUGCCAAUGGUAUGCACUGGCUUUAUUGAUUCCUACCUCUUGACGAACUGUGAUGCCAUUAAUUUGGUGUCGCAAGGAAUCAGGACUGUUACUUUGAAAAAAUUAGAGUGUUUAAAGCAGGCAUACGCUUGAAUACAUUAGCAUGGAAUAAUGAAAUAGGACGUUUGAUUCUAUUUUGUUGGUUUCUAGGAUCGACGUAAUGAUUAAUAGGGAUAGUUGGGGGCAUUAGUAUUCAAUUGUCAGAGGUGAAAUUCUUGGAGUUAUUGAAGACUAACUACUGCGAAAGCAUUCGCCAAGGAUGUUUUCAUUAAUCAGUGAACGAAAGUUAGGGGAUCGAAGACGAUCAGAUACCGUCGUAGUCUUAACCACAAACUAUGCCGACUAGGGAUCGGGCGGUGUUAGUAUUUUGACCCGUUCGGCACCUUACGGGAAAC